GGAGAAGUGGGGCGUGGCGAGUGGCGUGUCUAUGCAGAUGGGGUGGGGCCUGGUGAAGGCCGGGGCUGCGCAGGCGUUCUCAUGAAAACCAAGUGCAGCCGGAGGGAGAUGCCUGUGCCCGCUCCCGUGACCUUCCCGGCCAGCCCGGCUGCAGCGGCCUCUCGGCAGGCAUCUGUCUGGUGCUGCCUCCAUGCCCCUCCCGUCACCUGACGCUCCUGUUCCUGAAUCUUCACGCGUGUGCUCCGUGCAGCCACCUCACGGGCUCCCUGGGAAUAGAGACAGUGUCUCACGCCGGUGUUCACAGUGGCAUGAGGAGAAUGGCAUUAGGGUUCUGGGAACCGUGCAGUUUGACUGAAGGAAGGGGGCUCACCUCAUGUAACUGAAGAGUGGGACAGUGCUGGGUCUCUGGGAUGCUGGUGAGUGGACGUGACCUCAAGUUCUUGGAACUUGCAAGCAAGCAGGAUUCCUAAAUUGUCACACCUGCAGUGCUGGAAGUCAAAGUGGAUUUCUGUGAACGAGAACCGCAAGUGGAAGAUGCCCCAAGGUGGGGGUUCGGUUAUCCACAGAAGCCUGGAUGGUGGAGCCGGGUUUGCUGGUGGCCCUGUGUGGCAGUCCAUUACGUGCAAUAAGGAACAGGUGAGUGCCCUUGAGGGUGGUUUCUCGGCCCCCUUUGGAACCUCCAGUAGAAGACGCCCCAAGGUGAGGGUUCCGGUUAG